rnacentral:rRNA from 1 species
UACGGAGGGGGCUAGCGUUGUUCGGAAUUACUGGGCGUAAAGCGCACGUAGGCGGCUUUGUAAGUUAGAGGUGAAAGCCCGGGGCUCAACUCCGGAAUUGCCUUUAAGACUGCAUCGCUAGAAUUGUGGAAGAGGUAAGUGGAAUUCCGAGUGUAGAGGUGAAAUUCGUAGAUAUUGGGAAGAACACCGGUGGCGAAGGCGGCUCUCUGGACCGAUACUGACGCUGAGGCGGCGAAAAGCGUGGGGAGCGAACAGG